GAUGAACGCUGGCGGCGUGCCUAAUACAUGCAAGUCGAGCGAACAGACGAGGAGCUUGCUCCUCUGACGUUAGCGGCGGACGGGUGAGUAACACGUGGAUAACCUACCUAUAAGUCUGGGAUAACUUCGGGAAACCGUAGCUAAUACCGGAUAAUAUAUUGAACCGCAUGGUUCAAUAGUGAAAGACGGUUUUGCUUUCACUUAUCGAUUGAUCCGCGCCGCAUUAGCUAGUUGGUAAGGUAACGGCUUACCAAGGCAACGAUGCGUAGCCGACCUGAGAGGAUGAUCGGCCACACUGGAACGGAGACCCGGUCCAGACUCCUACGGGAGGCAGCAGUAGGGAAUCUUCCGCAAGGGGCGAAAGCCUGACGGAGCAACGCCGCGUGAGUGAUGAAGGUCUUCGGAUCGUAAAACUCUGUUAUUAGGGAAGAACAAAUGUGUAAGUAACUAUGCACGUCUUGACGGUACCUAAUCAGAAAGCCACGGCUAACUACGUG
rnacentral:rRNA from 1 species